AGCGUCGGUGGUUAGCGUUUCUCGACGUGAGGCAGACCUCCAGGACUCUGUACUCCCCACUAAAAGAGCCUGAAUGGAGAAGUUUGUACCACUUAAGCCUUAAAGCCAUGGCCCAGUCCAGUGGGAUCAGCAAACUUAAAGCCCUGCUGGCCACGAGAGCCAGGCAGUCGAGGGGUGUACCCUGUGCUGCAGCCAUCAAAAAUCAGAGCACCAGAUGUAAACAAAAGCUAAGAGAGCUUGUGUACUAGACCUGCACUGCAAGAAAUGCCAAAGGAAGUUCUUAAGCCUGAAACAAAAGGACAUGAGUAACUCAAAGUCAUACAAGAAAUAAUGAUCACUGAUAAAGGUAAUACAUAGAUACAUACAUAAAAGCUAUCAUCAUUGUAUUUCAGGUUUGUAACUCUCUUUUUGUUUCCUAUAUGCCUAAAAAGACAAAUGCAUACAACAGUAAUUAUAAAUCUAUGUCAAUGGGCACAUGAUGUAUAAAGAUGUAUUUGUGAAAUUACAACAUAAAAGUUUGGGAUGGAACUGGAUAGCAGCAGAGUUAGUGUCAUUGACCUAAGUUGGUAUCAGUUCAAACUAGACUGAUAUAAACUUAGGGUGUUCACUAUUAAUUCCCAAAUUGCCACCAAUAAAUUACUUUAAAAACAUACUGAAAAAAGGUGGGAUAAGAAUUACAUUGGAAAAGGCAUUAUUAGAAGAACUGAACAAAAAUCAUAAGACAUAUAGAAAACAAAUAGCAAAGCAGAACUGUGUUAUCAGUAAUCACUUUAAAUAUAAGUAAACUUACAAAUUAAAAGAGGAAGCAGUAUGGAUUUUUUUUGGUAACUUGAUGCAACUAUAUGCUGCUCACAAGAGAUUCAUUUUAUACCCAAGUCACAGAUAGUUUCUAAGAUAAAUGAUGGGAAAAGAUAUUCUAAGCAAAUGAAUAGCAGCCAAAAGAGAUCUGGGAGGAGGAUCAAGAUGGCAGAGUAGUAGGAUGUGGAACUUACCUCCUCCCACAAAUAUGUCAAGAAUACACCUACAUGUGGAACAGUUCUCACAGAAAAGUAACUGGAACCUGGCAAAAGAUCUAUACAACCAAAGCAGCAAGAAAGGUCAACAUGUAAGUGGGUAGGAUGGAGGGAAAAGGCAUCAGGUCAGGACUGGCACCCCUGGGAGGGACUGUAAGGAAGGGAAGGACUACACAGGUAGACCCCUGCCCUGGAAAGGGAGCAUAUUAUAUUGACUCACAGUCUGGACAUCCAAGUCCUGGGGUCUUGAACAGAGACAAGUCCCCUUGCCUACUGGGAAAUCCACUGAGACAGAAGGGCUGAAGAAGCCUAGACUCUACUCUUGAGGAGUGUGUGUGUUCUGGAUCACUAACAAUCCAUGUGAAGAGAGCCUCUCGCUAGUGGCUGCUGCCUUGCCACACUUCCCAGUCUGAAGGGGCAAAUGCCUCGGACCUGUUCACUCCUCACCACAGCCUGGCAUGAGAUCAGGGCAAAGAUUCAGUCUAACUAUGCAGAGAUAGAUCAGGGUGCCUAGGGUUUGAUCCAGGCAGAACCAUGGAGACUAUUGUCAGUGCAUGCAUAGGGGAGCAGCAGCGCUAGCUGGGCAGACAUUGCAGUGCACAGACCAGGCAGUGCUACAAGAGUGGCUAAGCACUGAAUUCUCGGAAGAAAGGCCCUGGGUGAGGACUCAGUCUAGCUACAAAGAAACAGCCAGAAGCGCCUGGGAUGUGAUCCAGGGGGAACUAUAGAGCCCAUUAUCAGUGUGUACAGGGGUGGCAGCUCUAGCAGCAGGGCCUAUUGUAAGUAUACACAUGGCAGCAGCAGGUCCAACUGUAUCAGACACUCUCAGUGCGCUCACUGGGUGUUGCCACAAGAACACACAGCAGCUAAGUGCUGAAACUCAGGCAGACUGGCCCUGGGCAAGAGUAUGCAGCAGUUCAUUUCCCAGUGAGGGUGCCCUGGCUCUGCCCACUGUACACUGCAGCUAGUGCCAGAUCUGAGGCAGACAGAUCCUUGGAGAAGUCUGCCACAGAGACCAGAUCCCAGGCAGCAGCACAGCCACCUCAAUUCCUGCAGCCACAACACCCAGCCCAAGUUUACUCUACACCGCGGCCUUACACUAGAUCCAAGAUGAACAAAACAGAUGUCCGUGGGGUGCUUGAGAGCAGAUGCCUACUCAGGCAGUUCACAGGUUUGCUGCGACACACAGGCCUCACUCGGUUUAGCAAUCACUUCCUUUGGGGCAGGACAUGUACUCAAGGGCAAUGGAACCUGAUCAAACCUGACCUCAGGGCUUCUACCCCAACAACUGGGGAGCAGACCCAGCCUUGGAGAGGGUGAUGACAGCCACAGAGUGAAAAGGAAGCCCCACUUCACAUCCAGCACAGGCUCUAGGCACCACAAUGCAAGUCACACCCCCUAUUGAGGGGAUAAUGGCCAGCACACUCUGAGGAAAAACAUGGCUGGAAUCCAUGCCAAAAACAGCCCUUGCACCAAAAAUACUGGACGCACAGUCUACAAAGGGAUGCUCCCACAUAAGGACAACCCUUUAAGACCACCAAAUUCAUAGAACAGAGAAAGUCAAGUAAAAUGAAAGAGCAGAGGGAUUACCUCUAAUUAAAAGAACAAGAGGGAAUUCCUUGGUGGAGCAGUGGUUAGGAAUCCGCCUGCCAAUGCAGGGGACACAGGUUCAAUCCCUGGUCCCAGAAGAUCCCACAUGUCACAGAGCCACUAAGCCUGUGCACCACAACUACUGAGCCUGGGCUCCAGAGCCUGCAAACCACAACUACUGAGCCCCUGUGCUGCAACUGUUGACACCUACAUGCCUAGAGCCCAUGCUGCACAACAAGAGAAGCCACCACACUGAGAAGCUCAUGCACCACAAUGAAGAACAGUCCUUGUUCCUCACUAGAGAAAGCCCGCUCACAGCAACAAAGACCCAAUGCAGCCAAAAAUAAAUAAUAACUCUUUAAAAAAAAAUUCCCUGAAAAAACAAUGAAACAGACCUACUAGACUGAGUUCAAAAUGGAGGUAAUAAAAAAGCUAAAGGAAUUAAGAAACAUUAUCAAUAAAAAUUCAGAUCACUGUAAAAAGGAACUAAAAACUAUAAAGAUGAAUCAAUCCAAAAUAGACAAUUAAGUUGCUGAGAUAAAAAACAAUCUAGAAGCAAUGAACAGCAGACUGAAUGACACAGAAGAAUGAAUAAGUGAUCUGGAAGACAGAAUAAUGGAAAUCACCCAAUCAGAACAGCAGACAGAAAAAUACAUUUUUAAAAAUUAACAUACAGGAUUUAUGGGAUAAUAUAAAACCUGCCAACCUACACUACUAGGGGUUCCAGGAGAAAUAAGAGAAAAGGGAAUUGAAAAUGUAUUUGAAGAAAUUAUGGCUGAAAACUUCCCAAACCUAAAGAAGAAAACACAUCCAGGAGGGUCCCAAACAAGAUGAACCCAAACAGACCAAGACAUAUAAUUAAAAUGCCAAAAGUUAGAGGAUUCUAAAGGCAGCAAGAGAAAAACAGUCAGUUACAAGGGACCCUUCAUAAAGCCAUCUGUUGAUUUCUCUGUAGAAACUUUGCAGGUCAGAAAGGAGUGGCACAAUACAUUCAAAAUUCUGAAAGGAAAAACCCCACAACCUAGGAUACUCUACCUAGCAAGAUUAUCAUUUAGAAUAGAUGGAGAGAGAAAGAAUUUCUUAGACAAGCAAAAACUAAAAGAAUUCAGCAAUACUAAACCUACCCUACAAGAUACACUGAAGGGUCCUCUCUAGAUAAGAAGCAAGAAUCUAUAGGGAAGGAAAAGUCACAAUAAGAAAGGCACAUAUAUAAAAGGAUUGAAGACCAUUUAAAUGAGCCAGUACAUAGAUUUUAAAAGUGAGACAAUUUUGUAAAAGUGAUUAUAACUACAAGUAAUAGCAAAAGAAUAAACAAAUACGUAAAAUAGGACAUUAAAAUCACAAAAUGUGGGGGAGGGGAGUUUAAAAUGUAGAUCCUUUAGAAUGUGAACUUGUAUGACUAUCAGUUUAACACAAGUAGAUAUAGUUAUGGGCCAACAUAUUUGAGCUUCUCAGUUACCACAAAUCAAAAACAUACAGUAGAUUCACAAAAACCAAAAAGAAAGGAACUCAAGAAUAAUACAAAAGAAAACCAUCACACCACAAAGGAAAAGAAAAAGAAGAAGAAAUGAACAAAGAGCUGCAAAAACAACUGGAAAACAAGAUUUAAAAUGGCCAUAAGUACACAUCUAUCAGUAAUUACUUUAAAUGUCAAUGGAUUAAAUGUUCAAAUCAAAAGACAAAGUGGCAGACUGAAUAAAAAACAAGGCUACAAAUAUGCUGCCUACAAGAGACUCAUUCGGGGUGAAAGAGACAGACUGAAUAUGAGGGGGAUGGAAAUAGAUAUUUCAAGCAAAUGGAAGCAAGAAAUAACAGACUUUAAAACAAAGGCCAUAUAUAGACAAAGAAAGAUGUUAUGUAAUGAUAAAGGAUUGAUAUAAGAAGAGGAUGUACUCAUUAACAUGUAUGCACCCAACACAGGAGAACCUAACUAAAGAAAAAUACUAACAGACAUAAAGGUAGAAAUGAACAAUAAUACAAUAAUCUUAUGUCUGUAACACUCCACUGACAUAAAUGGACAUAUCAGUAUCCAGACAAAAAAUCAAUAAGGCAGCAGAGGUCCUAAAUGACAUAAUAGGCCAGUUGGACUUAACAGACAUCUGUAGAACAUUCCAUCCAAAAACAGCAGAAUAUACAUUCUUUUCAAGUGCAUUUGGAACGUUCCCUAGGUUGAGAUGAUACAUUAGGUCACAAAACAAGCCUGAACAAAUUUAAGAGAAUAGGAAUUAUUUUAAGCACCUUUUCUGACCACAACAGUAUGAAACUAGAAAUCAGUCACAGAAGAACAAAAAAGGAAAAAAGAACGAACUUAUGGAGACUAAACAACCUGCUACUAAAAAAAUUAAUGGGUCAAUGAUGAAAUCAAAGAAGGAAUCAGAAAAUACCUUGAGAGAAAUGAAAAUGAAAACACAACCUUACAAAAUCUAUGGGAUAUAGCAAAAGUAGGCCUAAGAGGGAAGUUCAUAGAGAUACAGGCCUUCCUCAAGAAACAGGAAAAGUCUCAAACCUACCUACCACUAAAAGAAUUAGAAGAACCAACAAAACCCAAAGGCAGUAGAAGGAAGGAGAUAAAAAUUAGGGAGGAAAUAAGUGGAGAUCAACAAAAACAGAAAAGAAUGAUAAAACCAAGAGCUAGUUUUUUGAAAAGAUAAAGUCAGCAUACCUGUAGGCAGGCUCACCAAGAGAAAACAGAGAGGAUCUCAAUAUACAAAAUAAGAAAUAGAAGAGAACAAAUAAGUGAUAUCACAGGAAUACCAAAAAAUCACAAGAGAAUACCAUGAAAGUCAUAUGCCAACAAACUGGACACCAUAGAUGAAAUGGACAAAUUUCUAGAAACAUAGAGCCUGCCAACACUAAGUCAAGAAGAAACAGAUGAUUUGAACAGACUGAUGACUAGAAGUGAAAUAAUAUCUAGAAUUAAAAAACAAACAACCUCCCUCUAAACAAAAAUCCAGGGCAGAUGGAUUCACUGAGGAAUUCUACCAGACAUACAAAGAAGAAUGUAUACCUAUCCUUCUCAAACUCUUCCAAAAGACUGAAGAGGAGGGAGCACUCCCAAAUUCAUUUUUUCAAGCCACCAUCACCCUCAUCCUAAAACCAGACAAAGACACUACAAAAAAGAAAAUUACAUGCCAAAAUCUUUGAUACAGAUGCAAAAAUCCUCAACAAAACAUUGGCAAACCAAAUGCAACAAUACAUAAGAAUCAUACAUCAUGAUCAAGUUGGAUCAUUCUAAGAUGGUUCAACAAACACAAAUCAAUCAGUGUUAUACACCAUAUUAAAAGGAAAGACAAAAAAUCAAAUGAUUAUCUUAAAUGCAGAAAAUGCAUUUGACAAAAUUCAACAUCCAUUCAUGAUUUAAAAAAAAAAAAAAUCUCACCAACAUGGGUAUAGAGGGAAAAAUCUCAACAUGAUGAAGGCUAUUUAUGAUAAAACCACAAGCAACAAAAUACUCAACAGUGAAAAAGUGAAAGCCUUCCUGCUAAAUUUAGGAAUAAGACAAAGAUGCCCACUCUCCCCACUUCCAUUCAACAUAGUAUUUGAACUCAGCCACAGCAAUCAGACAAGAAAAAGAAGUAAAAGAUAUCCAAAUUGGAAGAGAAAAGGUAAAACUGUCACUAUGUGGAGAUGACAUGAUACUCUGUAUAGAGAACCCUAAAGACUCCACACCAAAACUGUGAUAAUAGUGAAUUUAGCAAGGUAGCAGAAUAUAAGAUUAAUAUACAGAAAUUUAUUGCAUUUCUUUACAGUAACAAUGAAAUAUCAGAGAAUGUAAAAAAAAAAAAUCCCUUUUAAAAUUGCAUCAAGAACAAAUACCUAGGAAUAAACAACCAAGGAGGUUAGAGACCUGUAUGCUGAAAACUAUAAAACGAUAAGGAAAACUGAAUACGAUCCAAAGAAAUGGAAAGAUAUCUCAUGCUCUUGGAUUGGAAGAAUUAAUAUUGUUAAAAUGGCCAUACUACCCAAAGCAAUCUACAGAUUUAGUGCAAUCCCUAUCAAAACACCCAUGACAUUUUUCACAGAACUAGAACAAAUAAUCCUAAAAUUAAUAUGAAGUCACAAAAGACCCAGAAUUGCCAAAGCAAUCCUGAGGAAAAAGAUCAAAGGUGGAGGCAUAACCCUUCCAGACCUCAGACAGAACUAUAAAGCUACAGUAAUCAAAACAGCAUGUUAUUGGCAUAAACAGACAUAUAGGUCAAUGUAAAACAAUAGAGAACCCAGAAGUAAACCUACACAGCUACAGUCAAUGAAUUUACAAGAAAGGAGGCAAGAAUAUACAAUGAAGAUAGUCUCUUCAAUAAGCGGUGCUGGAAAAGCUGGACAGCUACAUGUAAAUCAAUGAAAUUAAAACUCUCACACCAUAUACAACAGUUAACUAAAAACUGUUUAAAGACCUAAAUUUAAGACAUGAAAACAUAAAACUCCCAGAAGAGAACAUAGGCAAAGCAUUCUUGGACAUAAAUCAUAGCAAUAUUUUCUUAGAUCAGUUUCCCAAGGCAAAACAAAUAAAAAUAAACAAAUGGAACCUAAUCAAACUUAAAAACUUUUGCACAGCAGAGGAAGCUAAAUAAACCUAAAUAGGCAUUUCUCCAAAAAAGACAUACAGAUUGCCAACAAACACAUGAAAACAUGUUCAACAUUGCUAAUUAUUAGAGAAAUGCAAAUCAAAACCACAAUGAGGUAUCACCUCACACCAUUCAGAAUGGCCAUCACCAAAAUGUCUACAAAUAAAUGCUGGAGAGGGUGUGGAGAAAAGGGAACCCUUCUACACUGUUGGUGGAAAUGUAAAUUGGUGCAGCCACUAUGGAAAACAGUAUGGAGGUUCCUUAAAAAACAAAAAAUAGAGCUACCAUGUAAUCUGGCAACCCCACUUCUAGGUAAAUAUUCAGAAAAGAUAAAAACACUAAUCCCAAAAGAUACAUAUGCUGCAUUGUUCAUGUAGCACCCCACCAAACAAACUCUAGCAGCAAGGUGGUGCUAGCCAACAGUCUUUCCCCACCUUCACCUUCCCCAUCUGUCCUAGCUGGGCUGAAUGGAGAGCUUAACUUCCACCCCCAUCCACUGAAAAUGAGGCAGGUGGCAGUGCUCCAUUUUUGCUUGGGUGGAGUCUGUGGGGCCUAGUAGGGUGCUGAAUAUCUACUGCAACCUGGACUUCUAAGCUACAUCUAAAUAGGUAACUACCUGCAUAAAGGAAAGUUAAAUAGGAUCUACAGUCUCACAACACCCAAAAUGUCCAGAAUAGAACUGAAAACCAUUAAUUGUAUCAAGAAACAGGAAAAUCUAAAACUGAAUGAAAAAAAGACAAUCAAGAGACAUCAACACCAAGAUGACUAAAUUAUCUGACAAGAAAUUUAAAACAGCAAUCCUAGAAAUGCUUCAAUGAACAAAUUAUGUACAAACGAAACAAGUGAAAAAAGUAGAAAAUCUUAGCAAAGAAAGGGUGAAUAUAAAAAAACAAAAUGGAAUAUUUUUAACUGAAAAAAUACAGUAACCAGAGUAAAAGACUCAAUGGAUAUGCUCAAGAACAGAAUGGAGGGGACAAAGUAUCAGUGAACUUAAAGACAGAACAAGAGAAAUUACCCAAUAUGAACAACACAGAGGGAAAAUAUGAUGAGUCCUAGAAGGAAAGGAGGGAGUGUAAGGCUGAAAAGGCAUUCAAAGAAACAAUGGCAGAAAAUUCCUCAACUUUGGCAAUAACCUUAAGCCUACCGAUUCAAGAAAGUGAGCAAAACCCAAACAGGAUAAACCUAAAGAAAUCUAUGCCAAGACACAUCAUAAUCAAACUUCAGAAAACUAAAAACAAGGAAAAAAAAUUGAAAGCAGUAUGAGAAAUGAGGAACAAUUAUUUAAAUGCCAGAUAUUUCUGAAAACAUCAGAACCAUCAUCAGAAAACAUGAUGGCCAGAAGUAGCACAUUUUUCAAGUGCUGAAAUAACUGUCAACCCAGAACUCCAUACCAGCAAAAUUUAUUCUUCUGCUCAGAUGAAGGAAAACUGAGAAUCUGUCAGGGGAUUUAUUGUAAGGAAGUUCUUCAAGCAGAAGAGAAAUGAUAAAUGUGGAAUAUCAGGAGUGAGGAAAGAACAGAAAGUAAAAAUAUGGGUACACUUAAUAGAUUAUCUUUCUCCUGUUGAGUUUCCCAAAUUAUGUUAGAUGGUUGAAUCAAAAAUGGGUACACUAUCUCAUGUAGUUCUUAAGGUAUGUAGAAGAAAUAUUUAAGAUAACUAAACAAUAAAACAGAGGAAAUUAAAGGACCUCAUGAGAUAAGGUUUUGAAUUGGUUCAAUGUUAACAAAAGUAGACUGUGAUAAGUUAUCUAUGUAUAUAAUGUAAUACCUAGAGCAACUACUAAAAAAUUAUACAAAGAAAUGUACUUAAGAACUCUACAGAUAAAGUAGAAUUCUUGACAUUGUAGAAAGUGAAGGAAAAUGCUCAAGUAACUUAUAGUAAGACAUGAAAAGUGAAACAGAAACAAACAAAAAAAAAAAACAGAACAAACAAAGUGGCAGAUUUAUAAUAACCACAAGUUGGAAACGACCCAAAGGUCUUUCAGUGACUGAAUGUUUAAAGAAACCAUGGUAUAUUGAUACCAUAAAAAACGACUCAAAUUACCCAAAAAGAACAAAUUACUGUACCUGUAGCAAGCAAAACUGAUCUCAAGAGAAUUAUGUUGAGUGAAAAAAGCCAAUCUUAAAGGGUUAUAUACCAAUUACAUUUAUAGAGCACUUCUGAUAUGACAAAAUUAUGGGGAAUAGAUUAGUGGUUGGCAGGGAUUAGGAGUAGGGCGCAAGGGGAGGAAAGAAGGAUGGGUGUGACUACAAAGGGAUAGAACAGGGGAUCUUCGUGGUGUUUCAAGUUCCAUAUCUUGAUUGUGGUAAUAGUUACACAAAUUACAGUAGAUAAAAUUGUAUAGAACUAGAGACACAUACACAAGUAUGUGUAAAAUCAGUGAAAUCUGAUAAGGCCUGUUAAUCACACUAGUGUCAAAUUUGAUAUAUAACUAUAGUUACAUAACAUGUUGCCAUUGAGGGAUAGUGGAUAUAGGGUAUACAAACAAAUUACUCUAGAGUAUUAUUUCUUCAACUUCUAUAAACCUAUAAUUAUUUCUAAAUAAAAGCAUUUUUUGAAAGUCCCAGUAGAAAAAAAUAGACAAAAUACAUGAAUGAUCUAUUCACAGAAAAGGAAAUUUGAGUUCUAUAAAUAGGCCUGAAUAUAAAAUAACUGUGGUAUAGGAAAAAGUGAACUUUCACAUCCACUGAGCUCUUACCUGACACAUGAAAAUCACCAGCAUCUGAAUUCCCAUUUAAGGAUCUAGAAACCAAAGAAAGAUUUGUUGAAAUACAUUGAAACUGCUUCUGCUCUGAUAUGGGUAACUAUCCAUGACUUGAUAUUUUAUAGUAUGCUUGAAUAGUCUUUAACCCUCAAUUUGAAACCAACUGAAAUGCAGGUGAUUUUUUUCCCAAAUGGAGAGUGAAUUACCCCAACAACUGAAUUUUUGUUUCUUCACAGCUUUCAAAUAGGGAGGAACUUGUGUUUAAAAUAAAAAUGAAAAAUUAAAAAAUUGGUCUCAAACAAAUGCUAUAUACUUCUGAUUUGUGUAUCCUAAUUAACAUUAUGAGGAGAGGGUAAGCAAAGUAUUAUCUUAAUUCGGGUUUGGUUUGUGUAUUAUUAAAGAUAUUUUUCUAUAAAUGUUAGUAUCUGAUCAAAAAUAAGAUCCCACUUAAAAAUUGUUUCUAUAGGUCCAGGUUUUCUCUAUCCAUUUGAUUCUUAUUUUAGAGAAACAAGAAAAUAAAGGAUAAAAACAAGAAUGAAUAAAAAAAACAAAAUCCACAACAUAAUUUUGACAACCAGAUUUGUUACUACUGUCAUAUUUGCUUUCAUUCUUUUAUUAAAGAAAUAUUACAGAUAGAUAUAACAACUGCCUU